AACCCGGAGAUAUCUCGUUCUCCCCGAAAUAGCUUUAGGGCUAGCCUCGGCCGUUAACCCGCGGUGGUAGAGCCACCGGAUCGACGAGGGGGCUUCACCGCCUACCGACUCGAACCGAACUCCGAAUGCCGCGGGUCGAGAGGCCGGGAGUCAGAGGGCGUGGGCUAAGCUGCGCGCUCGAGAGGGAAACAGCCCAGACCGCCCGCUAAGGUCCCCAAGUCAUCGCUGAGUGGCAAAGGAUGUGCGUCUGCCCAGACAACCAGGAUGUUGGCUUAGAAGCAGCCAUGCAUUUAAAGAGUGCGUAACAGCUCACUGGUCGAGUGGACAUGCGCCGACAAUUCACGGGGCUAAGCGAUGCACCGAAGCGGCGGACUGAUCUUUCAGUGGUAGGGGAGCUUUCCGCGACCGGCGAAGCCGCAGGGCGACCUGCGGUGGAGGGCGCGGAAGUGAGAAUGCUGGCAUGAGUAACGAGACCAGGGCGAGAAACCCUGGCGCCGUGAGCCUAAGGGUUCCUGGGCGAGGCUAAUCCCCCCAGGGUCAGUCGGGAGCUAAGGCGAGGCCGCGAGGCGUAGCCGAUGCGCAGCGGGCAGACAUUCCCGCACCGCCGACGGCGCGGCAUUACCGAUGGGGCGACGGAGAAGGGUAGCCGGGCGGGGUUCUGGACGUCCCCGUGAAAGCGCGUAGGGAGCAUCGCAUGGAAAUCAGCGGCGCACGUAUCCUGAGACGCGAGACGAAAGCUUAUGCUGAAGUCGGCGAGCCCAUGCUUCCGAGAAAAACCUCUAGGGAGUGCCGUCGGCGCCCGUACCAAAACCGACACAGGUGGGCGGGUAGAACAUACCGAGGCGAUCGGGAGAACCACGGUUAAGGAACUCGGCAUACUGGCCCCGUAACUUCGGGAGAAGGGGCGCCCCCGCCGGUGAAGGCACUUGCUGCCGGAGCUAGUGGGGGCCGCAGCGAAACGGCCCAAGCGACUGUUUAUCAAAAACACAGGACUCUGCAAAGCCGUAAGGCGACGUAUAGGGUCUGACGCCUGCCCGGUGCUGGAAGGUUACGCGGAUGGGUCAGCCGCAAGGCGAAGCUCUGAAGCCAAGCCCCAGUAAACGGCGGCCGUAACUAUAACGGUCCUAAGGUAGCGAAAUUCCUUGUCGGGUAAGUUCCGACCUGCACGAAUGGCGUAACGAUUUGGGCGCUGUCUCAACCGUGGACCCGGUGAAAUUGUACUGUUCGUGAAGAUGCGAACUACCCGCGGAAGGACGGAAAGACCCCGUGAACCUUUACUGCAGCUUGGCAUUGGCAUCUGGUACGGCGCGUAGAGGAUAGGCGGGAGCCUUUGAAGCGGGGGCGCAAGCCCCCGUGGAGGCGACCUUGGAAUACCGCCCUCGUCGUGCCGGCUGCCUAACGCGCGGCCGUGAUCCGGCGCGCGGACCGUGCCAGGCGGGUAGUUUGACUGGGGCGGUCGCCUCCCAAAACGUAACGGAGGCGCGCGAAAGGUCCGCUCAGGACGGUCGGCAACCGUCCCGAGAGCGCAAGAGUGCAAGCGGGCUUGACUGCGAGAGAGACACCUCGAGCAGGGACGAAAGUCGGUUCUAGUGAUCCGGCGGCACAGAGUGGAAUGGCCGUCGCUCAACGGAUAAAAGGUACUCCGGGGAUAACAGGCUGAUCUUGCCCAAGAGUCCACAUCGACGGCAAGGUUUGGCACCUCGAUGUCGGCUCAUCGCAUCCUGGGGCUGAAGUAGGUCCCAAGGGUUGGGCUGUUCGCCCAUUAAAGCGGUACGCGAGCUGGGUUCAGAACGUCGUGAGACAGUUCGGUCCCUAUCCUCCGCGGGCGCAAGGGAGUUGAGGAGAUCUGCCCCUAGUACGAGAGGACCGGGGUGGACGGACCUCUGGUGACGCGGUUGUCGACCAACGGCACCGCCGCCUAGCUACGUCCGGCACGGAUAACCGCUGAAGGCAUCUAAGUGGGAAGCCGCCUCCGAGAUGAGCUCCCUUUCCGGUAAGGGCCCAGAUAGACUAUCUGGUCGAUAGGGCGCAGCUGCAAGCAGGGCGACCUGCUCAGGCGAGCGCUACUAAUAGCCCGAGCUCUUCUUCAU
rnacentral:rRNA from 1 species